rnacentral:rRNA from 1 species
AACGAACGCUGGCGGCAUGCCUAACACAUGUAAGUCGAACGAGACCUUCGGGUCUAGUGGCGCACGGGUGCGUAACGCGUGGGAACCUGCCCUUGGUUCGGAAUAACUCCCCGAAAGGGGUGCUAAUACCGGAUAAUGUCUUCGGACCAAAGAUUUAUCGCCUUUGGAUGGGCCCGCGUUGGAUUAGCUAGUUGGUAGGGUAAAAGCCUACCAAGGCGACGAUCCAUAGCUGGUCUGAGAGGAUGAUCAGCCACACUGGGACUGAGACACGGCCCAGACUCCUACGGGAGGCAGCAGUGGGGAAUAUUGGACAAUGGGCGAAAGCCUGAUCCAGCAAUGCCGCGUGAGUGAUGAAGGCCUUAGGGUUGUAAAGCUCUUUUACCCGGGAUGAUAAUGACAGUACCGGGAGAAUAAGCUCCGGCUAACUCCGUG